GUGAAUCAUCAAAUUUUUGAACGCAAAUUGCGCUUCCUGGGAUCCCGGGGAGUAUGCCUGUGUGAGGGUCAGUAUUAACAAGAAAUCGGUUUGGUUGCAAAUUGUGACGGUUCCGGAGUUUGGGCUAUCUUAACUUUUUUGGUUAAGGGGAAUAAAAUUGACCUUAUUUGCGCAUUUUUAGACGAACAUAA
rnacentral:misc_RNA from 1 species